UGAGCGUGGUGACUUGAAGUCUCAAACAAUGAUGGUUCACACAUAAAAACCCUUCUUUAGAGAAGGAGACUUGAGCCUGAAUCCAAUUUUCUCAUCAGAGGAAGCAUCCUUUUUGGAGUAUUUCAAUGCCUGAGUCCUUAUUCUUGAAGGGAAGAAGCACACCAACAAUAGUGAAAGUACACAUUCCUUCUCGGUGGAGGACACUGCCUCAAAUCUUUCACAGACAAAGUUGAAGAAUCUAGAAUUGGUGUGGGACAAUGUGCCUGGCUCCAUUUCCCAAGACCCCCUACAGAUUGGAAACAGUCUCAAAAAAGUAUGCACUGAGAUCCACUGCCUGUUCCAUAACCAUUGGCAGGGAAGCUUAAAGGAGCCAUUAUGUUGCUGUGGAGAGCCAAGGACUAAAAGUCACGAGACCUAGGUCUUUGCCCAGGUGGUAUAAUGACCUUGUUUUUCAAGCUACGGGUUGUAGGAUGUUAAAGAAAAAUUACACUGAAUUGAGUUAAACAGAUUUAAUGCAGUCCAUUGCCAUAUGACCCUGCAAUCCCACUCCUGGGCAUAUAUCUGAAGAAAAACACGAUCUGAAAGGAUACAUGCACGCCAAUGUUCAUUGCAGCACUCUUUACAAUAGACAAGACAUGGAAGCAACCUAAAUGUCCAUCGACAGAGGAAUGG